GCAAGUUGGUAUUAUCAUCACUACUCAGAAUAAACUGUCAUGCAAGAAUCUCAUAUGGGAAGAUGUCAGAUAACCUCUGCUGUUUUUUAUGUGGGCGGAAGAAGGGCCUUGUCCUGCUUCAUCUUGUGGUUCCAGAGGAGACGGGUCACACCUUAUUCAACCUUUUAGCAAUUGUAGAUUCGCCAACUGGCUCCACCCCACCACCUUCUCCUUAGUUUAUAAGCAGCCCCAAUGGCUCUCUUUUGCACAGACCAUCCCUUCAACUCAGUUUCCCUUGAGGAACCUCUUUACCUAUUUGCUUUUCUCUUCUUUCUUUUUUCCUUAUUUUUUUCCCAGUGUAAUCCUCAACUGUGCCCUCUGAAUUCUCUUUCAGUAUUGUCUAUACCCAACCUGUCCAAGCACCAUUUUGGCUUUCACCAUCUUUUGGAGUUGCACUGUCGUUUCCCCCACAAGAGUCAAGAGUAAUGGAAUCCAGCUCUCUCAGCUCGCGGAGCUCUGGGUCCCCAUGGACGCCCAAGCAAAAUAAACUGUUCGAAAAGGCUCUAGCCAUGUAUGAUAAGGACACGCCCGACCGGUGGCAGAACGUAGCCAAGGCCGUAGGCAAAACUACCGAGGAAGUGAAGAAGCAGUAUCAGAUCCUUGAGGAGGAUGUUAGGCGGAUUGAAUCUGGUCCUAUCCCCGAUUACAGGGACCGUAGAAACAACAAAUAACAAUGCUGUUGAAGGAACAGAAGGCUCCUGAAGUAUCUAAAGUUCCAUUAAAGUCCAUUUCAAGGCUAAGGUUCUAUAAAAUAUUAGCAGCAUUUCACCAACUGAGAAAAUGUCAAAAUGUGAUUCUCUCUCUUUCUCUUUCUCUCUCUCUCUCUCUCUCUCUCUCUCUCUCAACUGUGAUCUUUCCUCAUUCAACCACCUUUCUUGUAAUGGAUUAUCUAUUUAAUA